GAUGAAGAACGUAGCGAAAUGCGAUACGUAAUGUGAAUUGCAAAUUCAGUGAAUCAUCGAGUCUUUGAACGCACAUUGCGCCCCCUGGUAUUCCGGGGGGCAUGCCUGUCCGAGCGUCAUUGCUGCCCUCAAGCACGGCUUGUGUGUUGGGCCCCGUCCUCCGAUCCCGGGGGACGGGCCCGAAAGGCAGCGGCGGCACCGCGUCCGGUCCUCGAGCGUAUGGGGCUUUGUCACCCGCUCUGUAGGCCCGGCCGGCGCUUGCCGAUCAACCCAAAUUUUUAUCCAGGUUGACCUCGGAUCAGGUAGGGCUACCCGCUGAACUUAAGCAUAUCAAUAAGCGGAGGA
rnacentral:misc_RNA from 1 species